AGAGUUUGAUCCUGGCUCAGGAUGAACGCUAGCGGCAGGCCUAAUACAUGCAAGUCGAGGGGCAUCGCGGGCAGCAAUGCCUGGCGGCGACCGGCGUACGGGUGCGUAACGCGUAUGCAACCUGCCCCCUACCGGGGGAUAGCCCGGGGAAACCCGGAUUAAUACCCCAUAGUACCUGGGCACGGCAUCGUGCUUUGGUUAAAGGUUUACCGGUAGGGGAUGGGCAUGCGUGCCAUUAGCUAGUUGGCGGGGUAACGGCCCACCAAGGCUACGAUGGCUAGGGGGCCUGAGAGGGUGGUCCCCCACACUGGCACUGAGAUACGGGCCAGACUCCUACGGGAGGCAGCAGUAGGGAAUAUUGGUCAAUGGGCGGGAGCCUGAACCAGCCAUGCCGCGUGCAGGAAGACGGCCUUCUGGGUUGUAAACUGCUUUUAUACGGGAAGAAAACGCCCAUGCGUGGGCAAUUGACGGUACCGUAGGAAUAAGCACCGGCUAACUCCGUGCCAGCAGCCGCGGUAAUAC
rnacentral:rRNA from 1 species